rnacentral:rRNA from 1 species
AUGAGUUAAGUAUAAACCCCUUUACAAGUAUCAAUUGGAGGGCAAGUCUGGUGCCAGCAGCCGCGGUAAUUCCAGCUCCAAUAGCGUAUAUUAAAGUUGUUGCAGUUAAAAAGCUCGUAGUUGGAUUUCUGUUAAUAAUUUAUAUAAAAUAUUUUGAUGAAUAUUUAUAUAAUAUUAACAUAAUUCAUAUUACUAUAUAUUUUAGUAUAUGAAAUUUUACUUUGAGAAAAUUAGAGUGCUUAAAGCAGGCAUAUGCCUUGAAUACUCCAGCAUGGAAUAAUAUUAAAGAUUUUUAUCUUUCUUAUUGGUUCUAAGAUAAGAAUAAUGAUUAAUAGGGACAGUUGGGGGCAUUUGUAUUUAACAGUCAGAGGUGAAAUUCUUAGAUUUGUUAAAGACAAACUAAUGCGAAAGCAUUUGCCAAGGAUGUUUUCAUUAAUCAAGAACGAAAGUUAGGGGAUCGAAGACGAUCAGAUACCGUCGUAGUCUUAACCAUAA